rnacentral:ncRNA from 2 species
UGACGUGCAAAUCGUUCGUCUGACUUGG